AAUGGCACAUCAGUCUCUUUACCUUCUCUUCCUCGUUGUCUUAUCAUCAAUCAGCAGCCAUGUAAUUCAAGUUGAGGGUCGCCAUCUUUUGGACGCAACUUUGCCAGAUCUCCCCAUUGGCCUCCCGAAACCCGAGCUACCAACAUUACCUAUGCCCAAUCUUCCACUGCCGCAGCCUGGAUUGCCCACAUUACCUAUGCCCAAUCUUCCACUGCCACAGCCUGGAUUGCCCACAUUACCUAUGCCUAAUCUUCCUCUGCCACAACUUCCAAACCCUCAGCUGCCACCUUUGCCCAAACCGGAGUUGCCAUUACCUAUGCCAGAACUUCCCAAACCUCAGCUACCUCUGCCACAGUUGCCAAUACCAUCGCCACCUCUGCCAAGCCCUUAAGUACUAAAGUUCCUUCAAUGAAGGGAAGUGUACUACGUGCUAUCCAGGAUGACUCAUUUGUAUCAUUAUUGUCGUAUUUGUUAACCUC
rnacentral:lncRNA from 1 species